GAUGGACGCUGGCGGCGUGCCUAAUACAUGCAAGUCGAGCGAACGGACGAGAAGCUUGCUUCUCUGAUGUUAGCGGCGGACGGGGGAGUAACACGUGGAUAACCUACCUAUAAGACUGGGAUAACUUCGGGAAACCGGAGCUAAUACCGGAUGAUAUUUUGAACCGCAUGGUUCAAAAGUGAAAGACGGUCUUGCUGUCACUUAUAGAUGGAUCCGCGCUGCAUUAGCUAGUUGGUAAGGUAACGGCUUACCAAGGCAACGAUGCAUAGCCGUCCUGAGAGGGUGAGCGGCCACACUGGAACUGAGACACGGUCCAGACUCCUACGGGAGGCAGCAGUAGGGAAUCUUCCGCAAUGGGCGAAAGCCUGACGGAGCAACGCCGCGUGAGUGAUGAAGGUCUUCGGAUCGUAAAACUCUGUUAUUAGGGAAGAACAUAUGUGUAAGUAGCUGUGCACAUCUUGACGGUACCUAAUCAGAAAGCCACGGCUAACUACGUG
rnacentral:rRNA from 1 species